UUUCGAUAUCGUUGACCUCGUGUAAUAUCAACACAUUCGGUCUUAUAAUUAACUGUGAGGAUUGUCGGUACAGUUAUUGUUUGUACUCCGACGAAUACACAUCGAAGCUCUCUCUUUUUGUAAGCGUGAAAAUUUAUAAAUUAAUACUUUCGAUAAUAUUUUAAUUAUUUAAACAAUAUUUUAUGUAUAAGGAGAUCACAUAGAUAGAGUAGAUUAAUAUUUAAAUAAUAGUAUAUUUAUUUAACAUGAAAAAGUUCGCGAGGAACAAAAUAAUUUCAGUUUAAGAUAUCAAUACUUCAAAAUUUUCAUCUCGGGAUACUCAAAUACGUGUGACGUCAAUAAAACUAACGUUUGAUUGACUUUGACAAUUACUUUGACGAUUACUAGUCUUCUACAGUACUCCAGCGAGUGAAUAUCGAUUUCCAUAGGAUGACGAGUAAACAAAGACGCCCAAGGUAAUUUUCGUGCUAGGAACAACAACUUCAUUGUUAUCGUACGCGAAGCAAUGAUGUAAUCGAGUAUUUGUAAUUCGAUGAGGGAACUUAGAAAUUUUCGCAGGGUGUCAUUCGUGCAAGUAUUCACGAAGAAUUAAUGCAAGUACACUUACAUAUCACUCAUUUCUCCAAAAUUCUAUAAUAUUUCUUUUAUUUUAGAUUUCAAUUGUAAAGUGGGGGUAUUCGGUUAAGAAUUAAAUGGUGUAGUGGGGAUACUCUGCCACCCGUGAAGCUAUAUAAGGCGACCGACUUUGACAGUGCGUCCAGUCUCGCUACGAAUUUCCACCAUUCAUAUCGCAAUACUUCUAGUACGCAUGCUCCGUAAAUAAAAGAGAAGAAAUUAAAUGGUGUAGUGGGGAUACUCUGCCACCCGUGAAGCUAUAUAAGGCGACCGACUUUGACAGUGGGUCCAGUCUCGCUACGAAUUUCCAUCAUUCAUAUCGCAAUACUUCUAGUACGCAUGCUCCGCAAAUAAAAGAGAAGAGUUAGCAAUUAAAUGAUGUAGUGGGGAUACUCUGCCACCCGUGAAGCUAUAUAAGGCGACCGACUUUGACAGUGGGUCCAGUCUCGCUACGAAUUUCCACCAUUCAUAUCGCAAUACUUUUAGUACGCAUGCUCCGCAAAUAAAAGAGAAAAGUUAGCAAUUAAAUGGUGUAGUGGGGAUACUCUGCCACCCGUGAAGCUAUAUAAGGCGACCGACUUUGACAGUGGGUCCAGUCUCGCUACGAAUUUCCACCAUUCAUAUCGCAAUACUUCUAGUACGCAUGCUCCGUAAAUAAAAGAGAAGAGUUAGUAAUUAAAUGGUGUAGUGGGGAUACUCUGCCACCCGUGAAGCUAUAUAAGGCGACCGACUUUGACAGUGGGUCCAGUCUCGCUACGAAUUUCCACCAUUCAUAUCGCAAUACUUUUAGUACGCAUGCUCCGCAAGUAAAAGAGAAGAGUUAGCAAUUAGAUGGUGUAGUGGGGAUACUCACGCACUCGUGAUGUCCAUUAGUUGAUCUUAGACCCAAAUGCGAAGUGGGGAUACUCAGUUUCGAGACACGACAAUAAAGUCGGGUCUUUCUCCGACUAUUACAGUUACUAGUUUAGUUGUGUUUUGGACUUCGACGAGAGAACUUAGAAAUUUUCACGGGAUGCCAUAGGGGCGAGAAUUAACGAAGAUUUAACACUUCGAUUUCGCACUUUAUGGAGACAAUUUAUCUUCACGUGUGGUCUUAGAAAUUUUCAUUGGAUUAGUACAAGUUUCAACGAAGAAAUUCAAAUAGAAAUUUAAAAACCUCAUUGCAAUCGCGCGCGUAGCAAUGAAGUAAUCGAGGAUUUGUAUCGCUAAAAUAAAAAUAUUUCGCGAAGUAGAAGCAGUGUUUGUUCGUUCGCGUUUCGCGAUUUAAACCAUAAGUGUUUUUGCAUAGACUGCGUGCAAUGCAGUCUUUAGAGUCAGUGUUUGUUCGUAAAGUAUUUUAUAUUUUUAACAGUCGCACAGACUGUACUUAUAAAAGAUAGAGUUUCGCGAAAUAAAUUCAGUGUCCGUUCGUUAAUAAAUAACUACCGCGAAUUAGAGUCAGUGCAUCACUGAAGAGGAUCUCGACCAACUUCGGUGUCAACCUACCUCAUUUUCAACCAACUACAAAUCAUCCACCCUCAAUUUCGACCUAAAUCGCGGUCCAGUGUUUUGGAGCCAUCGCAGAACUUCUUAAGUAGUAAGUUAAUCUUUUAGUCCCUCCGAUCACUCAAUCAUGUCGAGGACGAAAGGUCCGAGUCGGCACGGGUGAUCGGUUGUAAUUAAUUAGUAGAAGAGCAUUGAGUGACCACGAAUAAAUUUCUUUGGAGAUUUAUUCGUGAAUGGUUCGUUAUUUUUUGAUUUAUUUAUUAGAUCAGGAUAGUGUCUUCUUGUUUAAACGCGUUAAUUAUAAUUAUUUGAAGUUUUGAAUAAUUAGAUGCAUUUUUAAAUAAUCUUCUCUCGUGAAAAUAGUAAAGGAUUUCGAUAUUUGCGAAUUUUAAUAAUGAAUAAGCAAGAAGACAUUCGCGGUGGACAGUCUCUGGAUUACAAGCGAAAUUGUAUAAUUUAUUUUCUAUUAAUUAGAAUAAUUGCUUGUAAGAAGGAGCGUCCAAUGAUUUUCCAUUACAUUGUUAGAUAAAGAUUAAUCAAUUUUAUUAAUAAAAGAAAAGUCUCAAUAGAGUCAUUGCUUUUGAAAGAAUAAAGUAGAGUAGAGUCGUUGAUAAAAGAUAAAGAGACUUGUAGAAUCACAACGCGUAGAACAUAGAAUAAGUUAAUCAAUUUUUAGCUUAGGAUUUUCAGCAAUUAAUAUAUUAAUUCUCGUUUCUCUUCCGAUGCUUGCUCGAUUUUUCGUUUCAGGUUUGAUUUGGAGUUACGUUAGAUUUAUUAGUUUUCUUGCACGUCUUAGAAUAAGGGUCGGUUUUAGUUCUUUAUUUGUUCUCUAUUGACGAUAGUUAUCAAAUUUAUUCUGUAGUUGUGGUUAGGGCACGAAGCAAAGAAGAGGCUAUAUGUCGAAGAGGCCCCCACAAAAUGUGGCUCAAGAGGGCAACUAUAACACUAUUGAGUUAUAUUCGAAGGUUCCACAGAACUCUUCGAAAAUGGCUCUUAGUUAUAUUUUAAUUUUACCAUGUUGUCACUCAAAAUGCUCUUAUAUAGUAGUAAUGUAGAUUUGAGAAACGACGUAACAUUCCGUCCUCUAUUCUACUUUGCCACGCGUACGCGAAUAGAACUUUUACAAUAUUUUAUUCAUUUUUAUUAUUAAAGUCAAGUAUCGCGUUUUUCUUUUUCAAUUUUUAAUUAAAAUCAUAAUUUUAUUUUAAUAGAAUCAAGUCUUUCAUUGAAAUAGAGUCUAAAAUUUUUCGGUCGUCACGUACGUGAGUGUUCGCGAUCGCGAGAUUAAGUCCUGCCGAGGACUAUGUUUUGAUUAUUGAAAUCGAAAUAUAGACACGACCGGUUGUGUCUCGAGAUGUCUGAAGCCGACGGUGUAGACGGUGGAGCUUUCCGUAAGCAGGGUUUCAUCCAUCUCCAUUUUUCUGAAAAGCCUGAAACUCCCGAAGGGGAAAGGCAUCUCGAACGCGAAUUUUAGAGUAGAGUCCUCGUUAGUCCGUGGGUCUCCAGCUGCAGCAACCUCCAAGCGGUGGGACCCGGGUCGGUAAUACUUGCGAAAUAUUGAAAUCUAUGUCUAAAUUAUAUUUACAAUCUAUAACUAAAUUAUAUAUGUAUAUAUAUAUAAUUAUAUAGCGCAAACAUUACCGGGCGAAUGGCUGCAUAUUAUAGUUUACACAAAUUGUGUUAAAUUAUUGAUUAAAUUGUUGAUUAAUUACUCUGUCUUCUUUCGGGCAAAUUUUGUUAAAUUGUUGAUUAGUUACUCUGUCUUCUUUCGGGUGGGACCCUUGGGAGGGGCCCUCGGGUGUGGGCCUUAGGCGGGUUUGGUUCUUUCACUAAGGAAAAAUCAAACUCAAUUAUGGUACUCUGAUUUUCCUCGAAUAAAACGAUCUUCGAGAUGCAUAUCAAUGGGUUCAGAAUUCUAUUUUUCUCACGCGAACAUACGCAAAUACUCUUUUUCACUUCUUCUCUUCUUCAUUUCUUCUUUUCUUUUACUCUUUUCCGUUUAUCCUUUUCUAAUCAUUUUUUAACUCUUUUUCUGUUUCAGGUUAGAUCAUCGAGGGAGCGAUCAUCGAGCGAGGGAUCAUCCAGGGAUCGAUCAUCAUGGAAUUAAAUUUUUACAGAGAAAUUUUUGAAUUUAAUGUCUUUUUGCAUAUAAUUUUUACUCUUAUAUUUAAAUUUUCUAAUCUUUUUAAUUUUUGCUUUUAUAUUUAAUUUUUGCUUUUAUAUUUAGUUUAUGUUACCUGUUUAAUUUUUGCUUUUAUAUUUAGUUUAUAUUACCUGUUUAAUUUUUGCUUUUAUAAUUAAUUUUUGUUAUAUUUAAUUUUUGCUUUUGUAUUUAGUUUAUGUUACCUGUUUAAUUUUUGCUUUUAUAUUUAAUUUUUGUUAUAUUUAAUUUUUGCUUUUAUAUUUACUUUAUGUUACCUGUUUAAUCUUUGCUUUUAUAUUCAUCUCUUGUUUUAUUCUUUGUCUGUUUCAGAUUAGGUAAUCGAGGGACCAAUCAUCGUGGGAUUUUUACACGGAAGUUAAUGGAACCUCUCUGCAUAUAAUUUUUGUUAUAUGCAGGAAGGGUAUGUCUCCUUGCUUCCGUACGCGAAUGAUAGGGAAAACACUCACGCGCGUGACGGCCGGCACGCGCGUGGGUGUUCGCGAUCGCGAGAUUUAGUCCUACCGAGGACUACGUUUUGAUUUUGAAAUCGAAAUAUAGACACGACCGGUCGUGUCUCGAGAUGUCUGAAGCCGACGGUGUGGACGGUGGAGCAUUCUGUAAGCGGGGUUUUAUACAUCUCCAGUUUGCUGAGAAGCUCGAAGCUCCCGAAGCGGAAAGGCAUCUCGGAUCGUGGAUUUUAGAGUAGAGUCCC